ACGCAGUCGAGCGAACAGACAAGGAGCUUGCUCCUUUGACGUUAGCGGCGGACGGGUGAGUAACACGUGGGUAACCUACCUAUAAGACUGGGAUAACUUCGGGAAACCGGAGCUAAUACCGGAUAAUAUUUCGAACCGCAUGGUUCGAUAGUGAAAGAUGGUUUUGCUAUCACUUAUAGAUGGACCCGCGCCGUAUUAGCUAGUUGGUAAGGUAACGGCUUACCAAGGCGACGAUACGUAGCCGACCUGAGAGGGUGAUCGGCCACACUGGAACUGAGACACGGUCCAGACUCCUACGGGAGGCAGCAGUAGGGAAUCUUCCGCAAUGGGCGAAAGCCUGACGGAGCAACGCCGCGUGAGUGAUGAAGGUCUUCGGAUCGUAAAACUCUGUUAUUAGGGAAGAACAUACGUGUAAGUAACUAUGCACGUCUUGACGGUACCUAAUCAGAAAGCCACGGCUAACUACGUGCCAGCAGCCGCGGUAAUACGUAGGUGGCAAGCGUUAUCCGGAAUUAUUGGGCGUAAAGCGCGCGUAGGCGGUUUUUUAAGUCUGAUGUGAAAGCCCACGGCUCAACCGUGGAGGGUCAUUGGAAACUGUAAAACUUGAGUGCAGAAGAGGAAAGUGGAAUUCCAUGUGUAGCGGUGAAAUGCGCAGAGAUAUGGAGGAACACCAGUGGCGAAGGCGACUUUCUGGUCUGUAACUGACGCUGAUGUGCGAAAGCGUGGGGAUCAAACAGGAUUAGAUACCCUGGUAGUCCACGCCGUAAACGAUGAGUGCUAAGUGUUAGGGGGUUUCCGCCCCUUAGUGCUGCAGCUAACGCAUUAAGCACUCCGCCUGGGGAGUACGACCGCAAGGUUGAAACUCAAAGGAAUUG
rnacentral:rRNA from 1 species